GCCAACGUGGUGCAAUGGUUUGAGUGUUGGACUAUGACUCUGGAGACCAGGGUUUGAAUCCCAGAUUGGACA